rnacentral:rRNA from 1 species
GAUGAACGCUGGCGGCGUGCCUAAUACAUGCAAGUCGAGCGAACGGACGAGAAGCUUGCUUCUCUGAUGUUAGCGGCGGACGGGUGAGUAACACGUGGAUAACCUACCUAUAAGACUGGGAUAACUUCGGGAAACCGGAGCUAAUACCGGAUAAUAUUUUGAACCGCAUGGUUCAAAAGUAAAAGACGGUCUUGCUGUCACUUAUAGAUGGAUCCGCGCUGCAUUAGCUAGUUGGUAAGGUAACGGCUUACCAAGGCAACGAUGCAUAGCCGACCUGAGAGGGUGAUCGGCCACACUGGAACUGAGACACGGUCCAGACUCCUACGGGAGGCAGCAGUAGGGAAUCUUCCGCAAUGGGCGAAAGCCUGACGGAGCAACGCCGCGUGAGUGAUGAAGGUCUUCGGAUCGUAAAACUCUGUUAUUAGGGAAGAAUAUAUGUGUAAGUAACUGUGCACAUCUUGACGGUACCUAAUCAGAAAGCCACGGCUAACUACGUGCCAGCAGCCGCGGUAAUACGUAGGUGGCAAGCGUUAUCCGGAAUUAUUGGGCGUAAAGCGCGCGUAGGCGGUUUUUUAAGUCUGAUGUGAAAGCCCACGGCUCAACCGUGGAGGGUCAUUGGAAACUGGAAAACUUGAGUGCAGAAGAGGAAAGUGGAAUUCCAUGUGUAGCGGUGAAAUGCGCAGAGAUAUGGAGGAACACCAGUGGCGAAGGCGACUUUCUGGUCUGUAACUGACGCUGAUGUGCGAAAGCGUGGGGAUCAAACAGGAUUAGAUACCCUGGUAGUCCACGCCGUAAACGAUGAGUGCUAAGUGUUAGGGGGUUUCCGCCCCUUAGUGCUGCAGCUAACGCAUUAAGCACUCCGCCUGGGGAGUACGACCGCAAGGUUGAAACUCAAAGGAAUUGACGGGGACCCGCACAAGCGGCGGAGCAUGUGGUUUAAUUCGAAGCAACGCGAAGAACCUUACCAAAUCUUGACAUCCUUUGACAACUCUAGAGAUAGAGCCUUCCCCUUCGGGGGACAAAGUGACAGGUGGUGCAUGGUUGUCGUCAGCUCGUGUCGUGAGAUGUUGGGUUAAGUCCCGCAACGAGCGCAACCCUUAAGCUUAGUUGCCAUCAUUAAGUUGGGCACUCUAAGUUGACUGCCGGUGACAAACCGGAGGAAGGUGGGGAUGACGUCAAAUCAUCAUGCCCCUUAUGAUUUGGGCUACACACGUGCUACAAUGGACAAUACAAAGGGCAGCGAAACCGCGAGGUCAAGCAAAUCCCAUAAAGUUGUUCUCAGUUCGGAUUGUAGUCUGCAACUCGACUACAUGAAGCUGGAAUCGCUAGUAAUCGUAGAUCAGCAUGCUACGGUGAAUACGUUCCCGGGUCU